UACGUAGGGUGCAAGCGUUAUCCGGAAUUAUUGGGCGUAAAGAGCUCGUAGGCGGUUUGUUGCGUCGGCUGUGAAAUCCCGAGGCUCAACCUCGGGUCUGCAGUCGAUACGAGCAAACUAGAGUGUUGCAGGGGAGACUGGAAUUCCUGGUGUAGCGGUGAAAUGCGCAGAUAUCAGGAGGAACACCGGUGGCGAAGGCGGGUCUCUGGGCAACAACUGACGCUGAGGAGCGAAAGCGUGGGGAGCGAACAGG
rnacentral:rRNA from 1 species